AAAAUAAAAUAAAAUUCUGCUUCGCUGAAAAUCAGACUCAGAGGUCAGAGCCCCCUCUCUUGCCGGAAAAUGGAGGAACACCGAGAAAAACACUUAUCGGCCGCCGCCGGCGACGCAUCCACCUCUUGCAGUUGGAGCGAGGAGGUGGAGGACUUGUUGGCGGCUGGCGACAGAGACGCGGCGAUUUCUCUCCUCGAAUCCGCCGUCUCCGAGCUCACCUCGCAGGAGGAGUCUUCAAGUACGUGUCUUCAAUUGUCCUCUGCUUUACAGGAGCUGGCACGCAUCUACUCCGCCGCAGGAUUUUCUCUCAAGGCCGAUCAGCUCCACUCUCGAGCUCUGGUCGUCAAACAGCGGGCACUUCACGCUUCCUCUCCUUCUGGUACUCGUGAUGUAGGGGUCGAUGGGAAGGAGAAGGACUUAAAGGGUGUUGAAGAUGCAGAGACCAAUGCAGGUGUGGUUUGCAGGAGUUCAAUCCCAGAGGGAUCUACAUCUUCCCUCAAGGGACAUGCUGAACAAUCAAUGGAAUUGCCUGGCAGUGGAAACGAUGCUUCUCUUUCCAAUGGGGUUUCAGAUGAUGAUUGGGAAGCUAUAGCUGAUCGUGAACCAAAUGAUUUACUCCCUUCAGAGUGCUUACCAGAUUUAUCAAAGGUUUCGCUGGAAGAUGAGAAACCACAUGGCCCUAAAAGGCGUGGAAGGGGAACAUUUUCCUAUAAAAAGCAUGAAUUGUAUAGCGAUCAGUUAUCGGAUGAUUCGGCCAAUGAUGAAGAGAAAGAUGAGCAUUCACGUGUUAAUUCAGAAGAAAAUGCAGGAGAUAAACAUUCAAAAUAUGGUACACACCAUGUCCUUGUUUUGACUGACUUCCCUCCAAGCACAAAGACGAUGGAGCUAGAAAAACUUCUGGAGGACUUUAGAGGUCGUGGAGUGGUUAUUCGCUGGGUGAAUGACACUACUGCACUUGCAGUAUUCCGAUCACCAGCAACUGGCUGGCUUGGUGCAAAUUGCUUUGUACAUUCUGUGUUCAGGAUAUAUUUCGUGCUGAGCAGUUUACUAAUUUACUUCAUUUGAGGCCCGCAACGGCAUUCAAUUCCCAUUCACAGUACGAAUACUGGAUGAAGAUGAUGCACUGUUGAGCUCAAUUCCAGUUAGAGAUCUGGAACCUCCGAGGCAGAGACCACAGACAUCAGCAAGAACGGCGCAGAGGCUUAUUGCCCAGUCGAUGGGGCUGAAGCUGCCUGCGUCAUUCAGUUCCAGAGAAUACAGGCAACAGGAGGAAGCAAGGAAAGAUAGGAUCAUCAGAAGGCAGAAACUGAGAGAUGAUGCUUGGGGUGCUGAUUGAAGGUUGAGACUUUCUGCUGGAGAUCGAGAAUAUUUCCAGCAUAUCCAAUGGCCGUUUCCUUCUGGCAUCAUCAUUCACGGUUCAUAAGAUCUGCUGCUUGGAUUGUAAAUGCAGAGUCUGCGAUGGGCUAACUUUUGCUAGCUAAAAAGUAGUCACUGAUUUCUACUUGUCUUUCGAGAAUCAGUAGCUAUCCACUCGACGGAUUCAGUAGUCUGAUGGACAGACCACAACUCCCAGAGUCUGAGGCUGGCCAUGUUGGUUGUGGUUCCACAUUGACUAGGCCUAUUGGGCCUCUCUGCUUUGUUUGAUAGGCUGACUACUUAGGUCGACUUGUCAAACCAAUUCAACAAAGAAUAUCUAUCUGUGUGGAAAAUAUAUAAUAUAGUGUAAACAAAUUAUAAUUUUCAGUUAA